GACGAACGCUGGCGGCGUGCCUAACACAUGCAAGUGGAGCGACGAACCAGGGCUUGCCCUGGGGCUAAGCCGCGAACGGGUGAGUAACACGUGGGUUACCUGCCUCGAUGACCGGGACAACCCGAGGAAACUCGGGCUAAUACCGGAUGUGCCCGCAAGGGGAAAGGAAGCUGCGGCCUCCGCAUCGAGAUGGGCCCGCGGCCCAUUAGCUUGUUGGUGAGGUAACGACUCACCAAGGCUGCGAUGGGUAGCUGGUCUGAGAGGACGAUCAGCCACACUGGGACUGAGACACGGCCCAGACUCCUACGGGAGGCAGCAGUGGGGAAUCUUGCGCAAUGCGCGAAGGCGUGACGCAGCAACGCCGCGUGGGGGAAGAAGGCUUUCGGGUUGUAAACACCUUUCAGUUGGGACGAAGCUUCGCCGAUGAAUAGUCGGUCGGAGUGACGGUACCUUCACAAGAAGCACCGGCUAACUACGUGCCAGCCGCCGCGGUAA
rnacentral:rRNA from 1 species